UCGACGGCGAUUCCGGAAAGGCUACAGA
rnacentral:piRNA from 1 species